AUUGAACGCUGGCGGCGUGCCUAACACAUGCAAGUCGAGCGGUAACAGGUGUAGCAAUACAUGCUGACGAGCGGCGAACGGGUGAGUAAUGCUUCGGAAUCUACCUUAUGGUGGGGAAUAACUAGCCGAAAGGUUAGCUAAUACCGCAUACGUCCUACGGGAGAAAGCAGGGGAUCGUAAGACCUUGCGCCAAAAGAUGAGCCGAAGUCGGAUUAGCUAGUUGGUAGGGUAACGGCCACCAAGGCGACGAUCCGUAGCUGGUCUGAGAGGACGACAGCCACACUGGGACUGAGACACGGCCCAGACUCCUACGGGAGGCAGCAGUGGGGAAUAUUGGACAAUGGGGG
rnacentral:rRNA from 1 species